rnacentral:rRNA from 1 species
UGCCUCAGUAACGCGCGAGUGAAGCGCGCAAAAGCUCAAAUUUGAAACCCUCGGGAUUGUAAUUUGAAGAUUUGGCAUUGGAAAAAGCUAACCCAAGUUGCUUGGAAUAGUACGUCAUAGAGGGUGACAACCCCGUCUGGCUAACCGUUUUCCAUGUAUUGCCUUAUCAAAGAGUCGAGUUGUUUGGGAAUGCAGCUCAAAGUGGGUGGUAAACUCCAUCUAAAGCUAAAUACUGGUGAGAGACCGAUAGCGAACAAGUACUGUGAAGGAAAGGUGAAAAGAACUUUGAAAAGAGAGUGAAAUAGUAUGUGAAAUUGUUGAUAGGGAAGGAAAUGAGUGGAGAGUGGACGAGGUUUCAGUGCUCCCUUGGGAGCACGUACUGCCAACUCUCGAGUCAACGUCAGCGAGACGGGGUGUAUAAACGGGUUUCUUCGGACUCCCACCUACUCCNCCCCACUGCCGUCGUCGACAUAAUCCACCCAUUUCACCCSUCUUGAACCACGGACCAAGGGGUCUAAGGGAUAUGUGAGUGUUAGGGUGGCAAACCCCAGCGCCCAAUGAAAGUGAAUGAUUCGUCCAGAAUCGACCGAACUUGAUUUUUAUGACAGUUUUGAGUAAACACAUCCAUUGGGACCCGAAAGAUGGUGAACUAUGCCUGAAUAGGGUGAAGUCAGAGGAAACUCUGAUGGAGGCUCGUAGCGGUUCUGACGUGCAAAUCGAUCGUAGAAUUGGGUAUAGGCGAAA